rnacentral:rRNA from 1 species
AUUGAACGCUGGCGGCAUGCCUUACACAUGCAAGUCGAACGGUAACAGGUCUUCGGAUGCUGACGAGUGGCGAACGGGUGAGUAAUACAUCGGAACGUGCCCGAUCGUGGGGGAUAACGAAGCGAAAGCUUUGCUAAUACCGCAUAAGAUCUACGGAUGAAAGCAGGGGACCGCAAGGCCUUGCGCGAACGGAGCGGCCGAUGGCAGAUUAGGUAGUUGGUGGGAUAAAAGCUUACCAAGCCGACGAUCUGUAGCUGGUCUGAGAGGACGACCAGCCACACGGGGACUGAGACACGGCCCAGACUCCUACGGGAGGCAGCAGUGGGGAAUUUUGGACAAUGGGCGAAAGCCUGAUCCAGCCAUGCCGCGUGCAGGAUGAAGGCCUUCGGGUUGUAAACUGCUUUUGUACGGAACGAAAAGACUCUUUCUAAUAAAGAGGGUCCAUGACGGUACCGUAAGAAUAAGCACCGGCUAACUACGUGCCAGCCGCCGCCGUAACAC